ACAGUCACAGUUCGGAUUGAAGGCUGAAAUUCGCCUUCAUGAAGCCGGAAUUGCUAGUAAUGGCAGGUCAGCAUACUGCCGUGAAUACGUUCCCGGGCCUUGUACACACCGCCCGUCACACCAUGAGAGUUGGGGAUACCCGAAGCCUGUGAGCCAACUGUAAAGAGGCAGCAGUCGAAGGUAGAAUCAAUGAUUGGGGUGAAGUCGUAACAAGGUAAC
rnacentral:rRNA from 1 species